GACAGAGGCCCCAAGCGUUAGGCGGAAUCACUGGGCUUAAAGCGUGUGUAGGCGGAUCGUUAAGUGUCUUGUGAAAUCCCACGGCUCACCCGUGGAACUGCUGGGCAUACUGGCGAUCUUGGGCCAACUAGGGGCAGCCGGAACAAGCGGUGGAGCGGUGAAAUGCGUAGAUAUCGUGAGGAAUACCAGAGGCGAAGGCGGCUACCUGGACAAUUGCUGACGCUCAGGCACGAAAGCGUGGGGAGCAAAAGGG
rnacentral:rRNA from 1 species